rnacentral:rRNA from 1 species
UACGGAGGAUGCGAGCGUUAUCCGGAUUUAUUGGGUUUAAAGGGUGCGCAGGCGGAAUGUCAAGUCAGCGGUAAAAUUUCGGGGCUCAACCCCGUCGUGCCGUUGAAACUGAUGUUCUUGAGUGGGCGAGAAGUAUGCGGAAUGCGUGGUGUAGCGGUGAAAUGCAUAGAUAUCACGCAGAACUCCGAUUGCGGAGGCAGCGUACCGGCGCCAGACUGACGCUGAGGCACGAAAGCGUGGGGAGCAAAUAGG